rnacentral:tRNA from 1 species
GCCACUUUAGCUCAGUUGGUAGAGCAACGCACUUGUAACGCGUAGGUCCCCAGUUCAAAUCUGGGAAGUGGCUCCA